GAAACUAGAGCCUUAUUUCAAAGACGUUCAACUGCAGAGACGAAUCACAGAAGAGGAGGCAGAAAAUAUAAAGGACGGGUUAGAGGCGAUAUUUGGAAAAGUAACUUGUUUCUGUUACAAAAACACAAUGAAGACUUUGUCCCUCCACCAUUAGAAAUGGCCAGGUUGACAAGAAAUGGUUUAGGUGUUCCUAAACAUGAACAGCCUGGUUCUACUGAAAGAUAUGGCUCAAAGUCAAUAAUUCAAAGGAAAUGGAAUUUUUCUCGUUUUGAGAAGUUUGUACAGGAUAGCUUUCCUGAAGCACCAUUGCAUUUGACCG